rnacentral:rRNA from 1 species
CGCCUGUUUUAUCAAAAACAUAGCCUGAAGAAUUUAUUUUAGGUGAAGCCUGCCCAGUGCUAAUGAGUAAACGGCCGCAGUACCUUGACUGUGCUAAGGUAGCAUAAUCAGUUGGCUUUUAAAUGGAGUCGGGAAUGAAUGGAUGAAUGGGGUGAAGCUGUCUCUCUUGUAGUUAGUUGAAUUUACUUAUUAGGUGAAAAUGCCUAAAAUUAGAAAAAAGACGAGAAGACCCUAGGAGUUUUGACCAUCUAUUAUUAAAUAAUAAACGUUUUUGUUGGGGCGACAUGGAAAGAAUUUUUUUAAACCUUCCUUUUUUAUAUGCCGACUUAGUAUGAAUAAUUAAACUACCCUAGGGAUAACAGCGUAAUUCUUUUAGAGCUUGCGACCUCGAUGUUGGACUAGGUAUUUGGUAGGUUAGCCGCCUAUUUAUAUUGUUCUGUUCGAACUAUUUUUCCU